AUACAGCAGUUGCGAGGCACUUCGCAGAAAUGAAACACAAUGUCAAUCAGUUGAAAUGGCUUGUACUAGAAGUAGUGCAAAACCCUCCUAGGGGAGGUGAAAACCAAAUUGUUACAACGGGAAAUGUACUGGAUUAAGAAACUAAACACUAUGAAUCCAAAAGGCUUGAAUGAGUCUUGGAGCGUAAAAAGUUUCUUAUAAAAAGUUCUUUAUAAACGGUCCUAAUAUGUGCAUUACUCUUCUCUUCCAGAUAUUGAUCAGUAUUAAUAGCCAAGAUAUGUUUGAAAACUUCUAAUGUCACUGUUUUUCCUACUUCCACCUUAAAGACUUAUCGCAAAAAGUAAAGACACACAACAGACACCAUUGAAACGCUUCAAAAGACUUUAUUUGUACCAAACAAAAAUCUGUAUUGGACAUUGUCACGCUUCAGUAUGUUUUUCUAAAUAAUUUUUUCACUAAUCUUUUAGGCAAGGGUUAAUAAUUGGAAAGUUCGUUUCCAUUAUAUUGUGUCACUUCCUGUCUAACACCUUUUAAGUAAUGAUGCACUGAUUGUCUCCACACUUGACAAAGAGCCUUCUAUGGUUCGAAACAUGUAGUGUUGGCAAAUAAACACUGAUGAUUUAGCAGUUAA